UCUAGCUCUAAUGUCUUGAACAUCAAAUGUAAGUUCUGUCGUACUCAAGGGCAUGUUCAGAAAGAUUGCCCUAAGUUCAAGGAAUGGCUAGCUAAGAAAGGGAUUCCAUACAAUCCAGAAGCUACCAAAGGGCCAAAGAAAACUUAGAGUUGGAAGUGGUGAUCUUUUAGAUGUCGAAGCCAUGGGAACUUAUAUUUUACAUAUGAGCACUGGAAAAUGUAUUAGACUAGUAGAUACCUUAUAUGUACCGAGAAUUACUCGGAACCUCGUAUCUAUUUCUAGACUAGACAUUGAAGGUUUUGUAAUAAUUCAUGGUUUCGGCAAGAUUACUAUUACUCUUAAUAAUGAAUUGCUUGGUCGUGGUUUCUUGGA